rnacentral:lncRNA from 1 species
CAACAGAUUUGACAUAAUUCUGUGAUCAGUGAAGAACAUCAAAACUAAUGCAGUCAACCCGGGGCACUUUAGGAUGUCUACGUUGGCUCCAUAUUAUGACGAAAUGAUGCAGUCUUGCAUGCCAAAUUCUUUAGGUAUUAAAUGUGCCAUCAUCAAUGGUUAAUAGCUUGCUGGAAAUUAACCAUGUGAACAUCCUAUUUAUAAGUUUGCACACACUUUGAGCGGGUUGAAUCUUUUGCUGUGAAUUUUCAUUGAAGAGGAAUAAAUAUGUUGCAUGACCUGACUCCAUUCUUCUUCGCGUCAUGGGGUGCUUCAUCCCCAAUGGGAAAGGCGGAGUCGAUAUAGAUCUUGGAUGCCUCUUAAAAUAGUCUUGAAGUGGGGGUAUUUGAAGGGGACUAUGAAGCCAAUGUGAUUGGAGUCAUUGAGACAAAAGGUAUCUAACUUCAUUUUAAAAUGAAAGAUUUGAGUGAAGUAGAUACCUAUUGGGUGUUAAAAUUUAAAAAUAGUGGGGGUUAUUCUUUGAGCUAAAGUGAUUACAUGGAGAAGAUAUUGUAUAAAUUUAAACAUCUUGUUUUCAAAUAUAUAAGUACUCCAUUUGAUUCCUGGUGGAG